ACAGUGGAAAGCCUUCCAAAGAUUCAGGAUUUAUUGGUUGAUCCUCCUAUUGUGAAACGUAAAGGCAAAAAUGGAGCUAUGAAAUCAUGGAUUGACAAGCUUAACAACAAACGGAAGAGUACCGAAAUGAAAGCAAGAAAAAAAUCAAAGGAGUCAACAAGGUUGGACGCACCGGUAGUACUAGAUGAUGACCACACUCAAGAACAACUACCAAAGAAAAAGUUCAGGAAACAGGGCAAGAACAAAGUAGCUUUCAGAGAGAUAACCAACCAGCCUGAAUCAUUCCUAGUCCAACAAUGAAGUUCAACAAUGGGGAGCAGCAGCAUGCAACGCCCACAAGCAAGUCUAUAAGCUAGAUGCAAAAGUAACCAUCAAUGAGCA